rnacentral:rRNA from 1 species
GGGCCCGCACAAGCAGUGGAGCAUGUGGUUUAAUUCGAAGAUACGCGCAGAACCUUACCAACACUUGACAUGUUCGUCGCGAGCCUAAGAGAUUAGGCUUUUCAGUUCGGCUGGACGAAACACAGGUGCUGCAUGGCUGUCGUCAGCUCGUGUCGUGAGAUGUUGGUUAAGUCCCGCAACGAGCGCAACCCCUACUUUAGUUGCCAGCGAGUCAUGUCGGGAACUCUAACAAGACUGCCGGUGCAAACCGUGAGGAAGGUGGGGAUGACGUCAAAUCAUCACGGCCCUUACGUCCUGGGCUACACACGUGCUACAAUGGUCGGUACAGAGAGCAGCCACUACGCGAGUAGGAGCGAA